AAGUCGAAAAGAAACUUGUAACAAAAAUCCAUUUUAUAAAUUAAAAACCCUAAAGUGCUUCGAAGUUUUCAAAUUUUUUUUCCCUCAUUUGUAAAAACCUCAAACUGGGAACGCUGUGAUUUAAAUUCCACCUGAACGCUCGCAAACCCUCACGGUGAAAACCCGACUCACUGUUGAAGGAGCUCUGUUAAUGGCGGCUCGACGUGGUGCAUUCUCAUUUUCAAGGUCUGCGAGAUCUGCAUUUAAUUCAUUUAGAAAUAAUUCCUCUGGUGCAUCACAAACAAACAGAGCUCGCAGAACAAAGAGUCCAUUUGAAAAUGGUAGCCCUAGCAUGAACAGGCGAAGACUCGCAGAAACGAUGAUACCUCUGCACAAUGCGGUCGCCUCUGCUAAACUCGUGACCCACCUCAGUGUUAGCUCGCGCAGUUGCCGUGCCCUCUCUCCAGGUCUUCAGGGUUAUUUUUAUGCUUCUUUUCAGUUAUCCACGCUUCAUAGGAGUUGAUAUUAUGAGAGGCACAUUGGGAGUUCAAGUCAAGGUCGACAAAGUUACAUAAAAUGUCACUUCUUGAGCAUGUAGCAUUGUUAGAGUCACAACUGAACUAAUAAGAUGGUGCGAUUUUAUCAACUUCAUGCAAGUGUUACAUUUCAUACCUAUUGUAAUAAUGCGUUCUUCAAAGUUUGUUUGUAUUAGAUGCAAAGUUUUAAAUCCCUAUUUAUUUUUCUUGGAAAUCUUAUCUAUGUUGGAUCCCCAACCUUUCCAUUUUGGAUCCCCAAGAUUUUCAUAUUAACCUUUAAUCUAAUAAGUUGAAAAUCCUCUCGUGUUCAGGUACA